rnacentral:rRNA from 1 species
UACAUGGGGUGCAAACGUUGCUCGGAAUCAUUGGGCGUAAAGCGCGCGUAGGCGGUUGCUUAAGUCGGAUGUGAAAGCCCUCGGCUUAACUGAGGAAGUGCAUCCGAAACUGAGCAGCUAGAGUACGAAAGAGGGUCGCGGAAUUCCCGGUGUAGAGGUGAAAUUCGUAGAUAUCGGGAGGAACACCGGUGGCGAAGGCGGCGACCUGGGUCGAGACUGACGCUGAGGCGCGAAAGCGUGGGUAGCAAACAGG